GACGAACGCUGGCGGCGUGCCUAAUACAUGCAAGUUGAGCGCUGAAGGUUGGUACUUGUACCAACUGGAUGAGCAGCGAACGGGUGAGUAACGCGUGGGGAAUCUGCCUUUGAGCGGGGGACAACAUUUGGAAACGAAUGCCAAUACCGCAUAAAAACUUUAAACACAAGUUUUAAGUUUGAAAGAUGCAAUUGCAUCACUCAAAGAUGAUCCCGCGUUGUACUAGCUAGUUGGUGAGGUAAAGGCUCACCAAGGCGAUGAUACAUAGCCGACCUGAGAGGGUGAUCGGCCACAUUGGGACUGAGACACGGCCCAAACUCCUACGGGAGGCAGCAGUAGGGAAUCUUCGGCAAUGGACGAAAGUCUGACCGAGCAACGCCGCGUGAGUGAAGAAGGUUUUCGGAUCGUAAAACUCUGUUGGUAGAGAAGAACGUUGGUGAGAGUGGAAAGCUCAUCAAGUGACGGUAACUACCCAGAAAGGGACGGCUAACUACGUG
rnacentral:rRNA from 1 species